rnacentral:lncRNA from 1 species
CCUUGUCACCCGUCAUGUGUCUUGAGCAGCCACUAUUCAAGUACCAACAGUUUUUGUCGAUCUUGGUUGCAAGACACUCCUACACAAGGAAAUCAUACAAUUUUAGGUACCCAAGUUUUCUUGGAUCCUUCAAGGUUAGUAAUGUCGGUUCCUUUUGGAACCCAAAUCUUUUUAAUCUUUCUUUUAAUUUCAGGACUUUUGUGGUUACAUACAUUGGCUAUAUGUCCUACUUUACCACAACGAAAACAAGUUGCAUUUCUGGUUUUACUUUCUCCGGCUU